GCUUCAGUUACGCGAUGAGAUCUUGAGUUCAGAAGACGAAGCAGAGUUGACAGAAAUUUCUUCGGUAUGUUGCUGUCAGCUUGGUUGCUGCUCAUGGCGACGGUGGCAGGCACCAGCGGCGAGCUGGUGGCGGUCACAACUGAAAUGUUGGCAUCAAAAGGCAGUCGGGUGACAGUGUCAUAUGUUUACGCCGAUAAGGCUAUUAGUGGUGAUGAUUUUUUGUGGUAUAAACAACUUCCUGGACAAGCGCCACACUUCUUGCUUUCCCACUUAGGAAACGGCAAACCAUUGAAGGUCAAGCCGGGAAUGUCGGUCAGCAUAGCAAGUGACAGGGAGCGAGUGCACCUGUACAUGGAGGAAGUGUCUCUUGAGCACUCUGCAGUUUACUACUGUGCUGUGAGGCCCACAGUGAUACACAUGCCACAUUCUUGCUACAAGAACAUUUCCUGCUUCUGAACUCAUCACACUCACCUCUAAGAGAGGAACAACUUACCUAGAUAUACAAAGGCCAAUUCGAAAGUUUGGACGUUGUGCAAUGUGUCAACAAAAACAAAAUACUAUUUUUUUUCAACCUCGUGGGCUGUGGUCUGAGGAGCCCUCAUUUCAACUUGUUUUUGGUCAUCAUGUUCAUUGUGUUAUCUGGGCCAAAGAUGAAAAGGACCAUCUGCUGUGUUAUUCGCACCAACAGUUUUUUGGGAUCUGUAGAUGUUCUUGUCAGGGAGGUGUGAUGACAUUCAGAGACGACAUGGUGAUUUUUGAAGGGCACUGUUGU